GUGGGGAAUCUUGCGCAAUGGCCGAAAGGCUGACGCAGCGACGCCGCGUGUGGGAGGAAGCUCUUCGGGGUGUAAACCACUGUUGCCCGGGACGAACAGCCUCUUUCGAGGGGCCUGACGGUACCGGGUGAGGAAGCACCGGCUAACUCCGUGCCAGCAGCCGCGGUAAUACGGAGGGUGCGAGCGUUGUCCGGAAUCAUUGGGCGUAAAGGGCGCGUAGGUGGCCCGGCAGUUCGUGGUGAAAGCGCGGGGCUCAACCCUGCGUCGGCCAUGAAUACUGCUGGGCUUGAGCACUGUAGAGGCAGGCGGAAUUCCGGGUGUAGCGGUGGAAUGCGUAGAGAUCCGGAAGAACACCGGUGGCGAAGGCGGCCUGCUGGGCAGUAGCUGACACUGAGGCGCGACAGCGUGGGGAGCAAAC
rnacentral:rRNA from 1 species